GAUACUUCUCAGGAAUUCUGCUUCAGCUGAGAGGACCAAAACAAAGGCAAGCAUUUGGGCAGGUUCCUCAGUCCCUUCCAUCACAUGAGGACACAUUCUUCAUCCCCUCCAGAGGAUGCAGCAACAAUGCAUUAUCUUAGAAAGAGACAGCAGCCUUUACCAGACACCAUGCCUGUUGGUGCAUUGAUCUUGAACUUCCCAGCCUCCAGAACCAUAAGUUGCCUGUCAGUAGCUGCAGAAUGGCUGCUAUGGCUCUUCUCCAUGGAUCCAAGUUGAAUGAGCAGACCCUCUUUGGAGAAUGUCAUUAUCUGGAGGAGAACAAGAGUCUAGUGGGAAAUUCCACUGCCUCUUAAAGCUUCAGCUCAGACUAACGUAGGCCUCAUCUGCUUACAUUUUGUUGGUCAAAGCAGGUCAUAAGGCAAGCCCUAAUACCUGAGUCAGGGAUAAGUACUCCUUCCAGGGUGAGGGUGGACACUGCAGGUCACAUGGCAAAGAGAGCAGAUGUAUAAUUCUUUUACAAAGAAGAUGAGGCAGAAUGAUUGGGGAUAACGAUAUAGCCUACCACCGUAUGUCUAUCUGUCCUGUUUAAGAUGGGAGUUAAGCUCUGUCAAAACAUUUCUAUAAAAAUUUCCAAGAAGAUGAGGGUAAAACCUCUUGUAAAAACA